rnacentral:lncRNA from 1 species
GUGCCCGCGCCGAGCGGACGCGGAGGAGGAGGCGGUGGCAGUGGCGGGAGCGGGCGGCCGGGCUCGGCUGGGCUCCCUCCCGCCCCCGCCGCGCCCCGCGCCCGCGCCCGCGCCCGUGGCAGCCCGCUCCUCCUCCUCCUCCCUCCCGGCUCCAAUCCCCACGUUCCGCCAGCUCCCCACCCCUCGGCCUCCUCUCCUCCCCACCUUCUCCCGCGAACCCACACUCACAAAGAGCCGAGGGGAGAGAGGGUGCGCAGACGGCCAGCCGGGCCGCGCCAGGGACAUACUGGAGACAGGAAGUGGCUGAGAGGGGGAGAGAGUUGGAGAGAGACGGCCGCGGAGGACACGGGGACGGGAAAGUCUGAGAGACGGGGAGAGCCUGACCCGGCGGGACACAGGCAGAAAGAAACACGCGAGCCAGACAGACGCAGAAGAAACGGUGGGCGUAGGUCUAGAAGGGACUAGGAACAAGGGGACAGGGAACUGCCGCGCAGCGUCAGCCUCUUACCCUCCCCACAGGAGUGUGCCUGGGCUUGGGCCUGACCUGAGAGGACCACCCGUGGCUUAGCCUGGUGGUGCUAGCGUCCCCUACCCAGGCGGGCGCCUGAAUCAGGUGAAGACACCUGGUGUUACUUUUGGCCCAAGUCAUUGGACACCCUUCCCUGGUCCUCUGCCCCACAGGAGACUUCUCCUGGGCUAGUAUUCUCAAAGGAUUCACAGCUGGGGACCUUUCCGUCAGGCUCAAGCCCCCAUCUCCACCCGCAAGCAGCUCCAGCCAUCCCAUCCACUGCCCUGCUUUAUUCAUUGAGACGGGAGUCUGUCUCUGUCGCCCAGGCUGGAGUGCAGUGGCGCCAUCUCGGCUCACUGCAACCUCUGCCUCCCAGGCUCAAGCGAUCCUCCCACCUCAGCCUCCCGAGUAGCUGGGACUACAAGAUGGGCGCCGCCACGCCCAGCUAAUUUUUUGUAGAGAUGGGUUUUCGCCAUGUUGCCCAGGCUGGUCUCCAAUUCUUGAGCUCAAGCGAUUUCCCCUUCUUGGCCUCCCAAAGUGCUGGGAUUACAGACGUGAGCCACCGUGCCCGGCCCAUUGCCCUAUUUUAAAGAGCUGGACCGUCAUUCCCAGUUCGCAGGAGACCUCUGAGAAGGUCUUCCUUACAUUUAACUUGAGUCCAGCCUUUCCAAAUGGAGAUGGAAGUUCUUUCUAUGGUCUGACCUCAUUCCCUUCUUUUGCAGUGCCUGGUACUGGAUAGGAACUUCAUGGAAUGGAGCUAAUGGGCCGUAGGGCAGGUUUGAGUCGUGCCACCCUGGAGCAGAAGGUGGAGGGUAGGGAUAAGGUAGGGGACAUCUUCCUAGAAGUUCUGAACCUGUUGCCAUUCCUACAUUCCCCCAACGUCCUUUAGCAGUGAGCACUUCCUGAAACUUUCUCCCUCCUUCACCCUCCCUGCUGGAUUUUCCAUGAUGAAAAGGGGCGGGGGGAAGGAAGGUUGGAAUUCUGAGAACCCAGUGCCCAGGGCUCAAUGCCCAGUGCUUGCCCAAAGUAGCCAGUACCACUGGCUCUAAGGCCUUCUUUCCCUCCCCGUCUCAUCUCAACUGGGUCCCUUGUCUUUGGCAAAGGCUGAGAAGUCUGGUUCUCAUUUCCAGGGGGUGGAGCACCUGAUUCCAAUCUUGCCACAGGGAAGAAGAGUCUGUGAAGAAGUGCGUGAUGACUGUGUGUCCCCCCCCACCCAGAAAUUGGCAUUUGGGAGGGGUGGAUAUGGUUGGGACUGGGGAGCCUUGAUCUUACUGCUCUUGGUUGAGUUGGUGUCCAAUAGACAGUUUCAGAGGUUAGAGCAGUGGGAGUCACUGGGGACUGGGGACAGGAGAGGUGGGGGUGGGGGAAGCCAGGCGGGAAUGAGUAGGGAGGCACUGGGAGGAGGGGAGAGGCAAGAGUUAGGGGAAUACCGAGGAAAGUGGCAGGGAUUGGAGGCUCCUGGAGAAAGGGCAAGGCUGAAGGUUGUCCCAUGUAUUUUGGCCAGAUUUGAUUAUGUAAUCGAGAAUCAUGAGAUAAUUAAGUGUGUUCAUGUCUCUGGAGCCUUCAACCAGCUCUUUUAACAUCUUGCUCUUCCCAGCAUUCCUUAGGGUCUUUGGCUGGGCUCUGGGAUGGAUGCCAUGGGAGUACCUUUACUUAAGCUCUAAAGUUACCAAUGGAGAGACUGGGACUCAAAGAGGAACUUGAUUGGACCCCAGAGAGGUGAGGGGUAAGGGCUAGAACCUCACACAUGCUGGUUUUGCUGCUGCCUGGCAGGCCCAUGGGAAGAACUUUAGAGGUUCCAAGGAAUUGGAAAAGGGUCACAAGAUGGGUGGCCAAACUCCCAGCUCAGGCUUGAUUCCUACUCUCAAUGUGGGGAUAGUGGAGAAGGGGGCUGCAGGAAGGGCUGAGAAAAGCUGAGAAUGAGAAGUUAUACAGGAGGUAGCUUGGUGGGAGUGAAACAAAAAUGAGUGGUUCAUGGGCCAGCCAGGCAUCCUGAUUUCCAGCUCACAGCAGCAGGAGCUUCAGAGAGGAAGAAGGAGAGGAGGAGAAAGCCAGGUUGAUGUUAGUAAAGGUCAAACAAUUUCAGGAGCACCUCUGACCUCCCUCCACACAGGUUUUCUUACCUUGACUAUGCAGAGGGUGGUCCAUCUUGGCACUGAAGAUGGAACCCCCUCUUCCAUGGUCUGGGGUGACCCCAUGCCUGUAACUGAAUGUGCUCAGAUCCUUGGGGUGCGGGGACUGUAGGGGGAGGAUUUGAAGGUGUGGGACUGUCCUGGCUGGAGACCACUGGGUCAGGAGAACUCCAGUAGAGGGUUUGGGUGCUGGGAACCAGGAAGAGUGGGGGAAGGGGCAGAGCCAACUCCAGAGGCGGAUCUCCUGGCUGAGGACAGAGGGUGUAUUGUCCAAGCUGGAGGUUGCUGUAGCUGGGCGGGGAGCAGCUCAGCUCGUCUCUUCCAAAUUUCUUUUGGGGGAGGGUAAGGGAAGGCAAGCCCCCCUUUACUUGUGGCCCUGGGGGCUACAAUGGUUGCUGAGAAACAAGGCUUAUUUGACAAAUAAUGCUUCCCAGGAGCAGAUGUGUAGCUCUCUCACUUCCUGAGAAACCAGAUGCUGUGAGCUCGCUUAGCACUUGAGGCGACGCCCUCAGCACGAACUGGGACCCUAGUGCCUUGGGAUCCGGAGUAUAGUGCUUGAUUCUAUUGAGAAGAAACGAGGCUAAUGUGGACUGGGAGACACACGGGACCUAAUCAGCCUCAAGUUAGCCCUUUUGAAGUAGGUUGCUGCACCUGCACUUUCCCCCUACUCGUCCACUAGUUCAAGAUUUACAAGACGUUGACAAUGAGGGCUGACCAGUCCUGGGUCCACUCCUGCAGCUGGGGGGCUUCUCGGUGGACCCACACUUUUUUUUUGAGACAGGGUCUUGCUCUGUUGCCCAGGCUGGAGUGUAGUGGUGUGAUCACAGCUCACUGCAGCCUUGACCUCCUGGGUUCAAGUGAUCCUUCCUCCCAAGUAGCUGCAACUAUGGGCAUACACCACCAUACCUGGAUAAUUUUUCUAUUUUUUUGUAGAGACAGGGUCUUGCCAUGUUGCCCUGACUAGUCUCAAACUUCUAGGCUCAAGCGAUUCUCCUGCCUCAUCCUCCCAAAGUGCUGGGAUUACAGGUGUGAGCAACCAUUGAGACAAGAGUCUCGCUCUGUCACCCAGGCCGGAGUGCAGUGGUGCGAUCCCGGUCCACUGCAACCUCCACUUCCCGGGUUCAAGCGAUUCUUCUGCCUCAGCCUCCUGAGUAGCUGGGACUACAGGUGUACACCACCAUGCCUAGCUAAUUUUUGUAUUUUUAGUAGAGACGGGGUUUCACCCUAUUAGCCAGGCUGGUCUAGAACUCCUGACCACAUGAUGUGCCCGCCUUGGCCUCCCAAAGUGCUGGGAUUACAGCUGUGAGCCAUGGCACCUGGCCACACACGUCUUUUUAAAUUUAAAUGAGGAUGUGGCCAUAUUACAGCCCAGGUUUUCUCUGACUUUAGAGUACCUUUUGGGACAUAGGGCCUUCCUCUCUACCCUUUCUGUACACAGCCAUCAUAAACCUCUUUCAACAAGCCUUUCCUAUUUUUAUGUUCCUUCUUUCCAUCAUUUACCUAGACCUCAUUAUUGCACAGCUGAGAGUGGCUUGAAACAAAGGCUUGGAGAAUGUGAGUGAAACUGAUUCCUGUGGUGGAGAGGCAGUGAAAAAGCAUUACCUUGUAGGUUUCCAGGCAGCCUGGACAAUAGGGGCACCUAAACCCACAUUGAAAAGCCUUCACAUCAUCACAGCUGAGUCUCAUAGCCUUCAACUUUACCAGUUUUGGAGAACAGAGAUAAAUGCACUGGCCAGAAACUAGAAGAGCAGCUGCUCCAAUUGGCUGGGAAAUCAUUUAACUGGCUCCUCAUCUUGGCUCUUAAAUCCCCAAAAUUGUUGACUGAGGUUUCCCGGGCUCCUUUCUAUGCUCCACCUCCUUGUGACCUUAAGGAUUCUCUGCCACUGUCCUAACCCCUUUCCCGCCUUGCAACAAUGACCAGUCUGUCCCUAGCUGUUUGGAAAAUUCCCACUGAGUCUGUGAGCCUCUGUUCUGGUAACCUCGACCAGCCUGUCACCAGUAUCUCUGGUCCACCAGUGCGGUGUAACUCAAGGGAGCAGCAUCUCUCCAGAUUGCUGAAGUGAGGGAGGGAGAUUAUGAGGGAACUGCCCCAAGGACACAAGGAUUCAUUCUUAGAGUUCCCAC